rnacentral:rRNA from 1 species
GACAGAGGAUGCAAGCGUUAUCCGGAAUGAUUGGGCGUAAAGCGUCUGUAGGUGGCUUUUUAAGUCCGCCGUCAAAUCCCAGGGCUCAACCCUGGACAGGCGGUGGAAACUACCAAGCUGGAGUACGGUAGGGGCAGAGGGAAUUUCCGGUGGAGCGGUGAAAUGCGUAGAGAUCGGAAAGAACACCAAAGGCGAAAGCACUUUGCUGGGCCGAAACUGACACUGAUAGACGAAAGCUAGGGGAGCAAAUGGG